GCGAAGAUAUCUUUCGAUCCUCUAGUGAAAAUAUCAAGUAACAUCUCUUGUUGCUCCGUCCCUCCAGGUUGAGCUCCUUACAGCCACAAGCCUUGAAAUCAAUGCCGGCCAGGGGUAACCUAGCUUUUCGCAGAAAACACAGCUGAAAGCAGUCAGCUAUAGAUAUUUUUUUCAAUGAGAGUCACGUAUUGGACUACGCUUUAUUUGGUUUGUGCUCAUUUACGAAUACCUCAUACUACUCAACGGCGCCUUCUCUGAUAAGCAGAUAAAGUCUCCAUUAUCGAAUUUACUCUGAAUUUUACCGGAUCAAUAGUACCGAAACUAAAUGUUUCAAGCCUCACGUCCGAUACCGCAGUCAUUCAUUCAUUCAGUCAGGGCAUUCCAUCAGAUGGAUAGCUCCCAACACAAAAUGAAGUGCGCUUGUUUGCCUGCUGAACCUAAAGGCACGAGGUGGUCGAAGUUCGAAUGAUAAUACCUGCGACAAAACAGUUUCACGAUGAUCUGCAAAGAAUAACGAUGUACAACUAUGACUGGAAAUGCGCCUUCAAAAUUGAUCUCUUCAUAAGUAAGCGUGGAAUAAAAUAGAUACGUCUGCACCAUGAAUUGUGCACAUAAGCAUUUCCUUUCGCGUUUUCGCACGAGAAAGAAGAAAGAGGACGCGUCAUAUUGCGAUGGGUUGCACAGUUCGGAGUGCUGAGUUCCGCACAAAGCCGUACCGAGAUGAGUCCCAGUGCCGGAAAGAGGAAAUUUGCCGUCGAGUGUUUUGUACAAAGCGGAAAUCGAGAAGCUGAAAUCGGCUCGAAGAUUCAAUUUGGAGAGGGAAGAACAUCAUUUUGGAUUAACCGGUCCAAAUGUCUCUUUCUUGCGGGGCUCUGGCCACGUCAACCGCCACAGUUAUCAACUCGAAACGUGUGAAAUCGUCAAAUGCCCUAUGCCAGAAGCCCCAAGGUGGAUAUGUGGAGGGAACCAAUUAUAUUCAUCGGCAGAAGCACUCUGAUGGCGUCAAGUGCCCUCUUCAUCCGUAAUAUGCAGUAACUUUCGCAAAAGAGAGCGAUGGGUUUUCGACUUCGAACAGUGGUUUAGCACGCAAGUCACCUUAAGCGAAGGAAAACCCCCUACCCCCUAACAGCGCUAAGGAUGCUAACCCUAUUUCGUCUGAAGGGACCUGCUGCUUUGUGCAGACGAGACUGGAGGACUGCAAACUCGAUUGUAACGCCCGAGUAAAUGUUCAACCCGAUUAAAUUGUUUCUCAGCGAAGACUUGUACAGAUCCAAUUUAAAGUUCAGGGCUCCAAGCAAAACUCGUAUCCAGUUGAGUUCGACUUUCGAGUUAUCGAGCCAGCCUUCGUAGGCGCUUUUUUCUUUGACAUAUAUAUAACUGCUUCCACUCUCCGCUAUAUACAUGAUCAAUACUCCCAUUUUCCUAAAUAUAAUACUGUGCAUUUCAGUAAUUAAAUACAUGUUAGUGGAUUACAACGUUUCGGUAAAACGGGCACAAAACAAACAAGCAUGUUUUUUGCGAAUGCGCUAUAUGGCCAAUUGAAUAUCCGUUAUUAAUCCGUGAUGUCUGACACGUACUCCGUAUAAGAUAGUCUAAACCUUCUUUACGUGUGUACAUGGUAUUAUAAAGGAAUGGCUAUGUGUAGCUUAAAGAAGGAUAAGGCUUAAUAAUAUAAAUAAAAGAUAAA